UGCUUAACACAUGCAAGUCGAACGGCAGCAUGGUAUGUAGCAAUACAUACUGAUGGCGAGUGGCGGACGGGUGAGUAAUGCAUAGGAAUUUACCUCAAAGCGGGGGAUAACCCGGGGAAACUCGGGCUAAUACCGCAUAAUCUCUACGGAGCAAAGAGGGGGACCUUCGGGCCUUUCACUUUGAGAUAAGCCUGUGUCGGAUUAGCUAGUAGGUUGGGUAAUGGCUGACCUAGGCGACGAUCCGUAGCUGGUCUGAGAGGACGAACAGCCACACUGGGACUGAGACACGGCCCAGACUCCUACGGGAGGCAGCAGUGGGGAAUAUUGGACAAUGGGCGCAAGCCUGAUCCAGCAAUGCCGCGUGUGUGAAGAAGGCCUUCGGGUUGUAAAGCGC
rnacentral:rRNA from 1 species